rnacentral:rRNA from 1 species
CGAAUGGAUUAAGAGCUUGCUCCUUAUGAAGUUAGCGGCGGACGGGUGAGUAACACGUGGGUAACCUGCCCAUAAGACUGGGAUAACUCCGGGAAACCGGGGCUAAUACCGGAUAACAUUUUGAACCGCAUGGUUCGAAAUUGAAAGGCGGCUUCGGCUGUCACUUAUGGAUGGACCCGCGUCGCAUUAGCUAGUUGGUGAGGUAACGGCUCACCAAGGCAACGAUGCGUAGCCGACCUGAGAGGGUGAUCGGCCACACUGGGACUGAGACACGGCCCAGACUCCUACGGGAGGCAGCAGUAGGGAAUCUUCCGCAAUGGACGAAAGUCUGACGGAGCAACGCCGCGUGAGUGAUGAAGGCUUUCGGGUCGUAAAACUCUGUUGUUAGGGAAGAACAAGUGCUAGUUGAAUAAGCUGGCACCUUGACGGUACCUAACCAGAAAGCCACGGCUAACUACGUGCCAGCAGCCGCGGUAAUACGUAGGUGGCAAGCGUUAUCCGGAAUUAUUGGGCGUAAAGCGCGCGCAGGUGGUUUCUUAAGUCUGAUGUGAAAGCCCACGGCUCAACCGUGGAGGGUCAUUGGAAACUGGGAGACUUGAGUGCAGAAGAGGAAAGUGGAAUUCCAUGUGUAGCGGUGAAAUGCGUAGAGAUAUGGAGGAACACCAGUGGCGAAGGCGACUUUCUGGUCUGUAACUGACACUGAGGCGCGAAAGCGUGGGGAGCAAACNGGAUUAGAUACCCUUGGUAGUCCACCGCCGUNAAACGAUGAAGUGCUAAAUGGUUAAAAGGGUUU